rnacentral:rRNA from 1 species
AAUAUUGGACAAUGGGCGAAAGCCUGAUCCAGCCAUGCCGCGUGUGUGAAGAAGGUCUUCGGAUUGUAAAGCACUUUACGUUGGGAGGAAGGGCAGUAAGUUAAUACCUUGCUGUUUUGACGUGACCGACAGAAUAAGCACCGGCUAACUUCGUGCCAGCAGCCGCGGUAAGACGAAGGGGGCAAGCGUUAAUCGGAAUUACUGGGCGUAAAGCGCGCGUAGGUGGUUGGUUAAGUUGGAAGUGAGAGCCGCGGGCUUAACCUGGGAACUGCUUACAAGACUGGCAAGCUAGAGUACGGUAGAGGGUAGUGGAAUUUCCUGUGUAGCGGUGAAAUGCGUAGAGAUAGGAAGGAACAUCAGUGGCGAAGGCGACUACCUGGACUGAUACUGACACUGAGGUGCGAAAGCGUGGGGAGCAAACAGG